AGGAUCAUUACUNCNUNGNCANCNNNANGAGUUGCUGGUCCCCAGAUGGGGGCAUGUGCACGCUCCGUUAACACAUCCACUCACACCCUGUGCACCCUCUGUAGUUCUAUGGUUGGGGGGACACCUGUCCUCUCCUGCUGUGGUUCUGCAUCUUUACAUACACACUGUAACAAAGNCUUAUGGAAUGCAUACCGCGUUUAACGCAAUAAAAUACAACUUUCAGCAACGGAUCUCUUGGCUCUCGCAUCGAUGAAGAACGCAGCGAAAUGCGAUAAGUAAUGUGAAUUGCAGAAUUCAGUGAAUCAUCGAAUCUUUGAACGCACCUUGCGCCCUUUGGUAUUCCGAAGGGCAUGCCUGUUUGAGUAUCAUGAACACCUCAACUCUUCAUGGUUUUCCAUGAUGAGCUUGGACUUUGGGGGUCUUGCUGGCCUGCGGUCGGCUCCUCUCAAACAAAUCAGCUUGCCAGUGUUUGGUGGGCAUCACAGGUGUGAUAACUAUCUACGCUUGUGGUUUUCCACCAGGUAACCUUCAGCAGUGGAGGUUUGCUGGAGCUCACAGAUGUCUCUCCUCAGUGAGGACAGCCCUUUGAAUGUUUGAUCUCAAAUCAGGUAGGACUACCCGCUGAACUUAAGCAUAUCAAUAAGCGGAGGAAAAGAAACUAACAAGGAUUCCCCUAGUAACUGCGAGUGAAGCG
rnacentral:rRNA from 1 species